rnacentral:rRNA from 1 species
GAUGAACGCUAGCGGCAGGCCUAACACAUGCAAGUCGAGGGGCAGCACAGGUAGCAAUACUGGGUGGCGACCGGCGGAUGGGUGCGUAACGCGUAUGCAACCUACCAUUGAUUGGGGCAUAGCCCGAAGAAAUUCGGAUUAAUACUCCAUAAUAUUCAUCAAAGGCAUCUUUUAUGAAUUAAAGCUUUUGCGAUCAAUGAUGGGCAUGCGUGACAUUAGUUAGUUGGUGAGGUAACGGCUCACCAAAACGAUGAUGUCUAGGGGUUCUGAGAGGAUUAUCCCCCACACUGGUACUGAGACACGGACCAGACUCCUACGGGAGGCAGCAGUGAGGAAUAUUGGUCAAAUGGACGCAAGUCUGAACCAGCCAUGCCGCGUGCAGGAUGACGGCCCUAUGGGUUGUAAACUGCUUUUCCACGGGAAGAACCCUCGACGUGUCGGAGACUGACGGUACCGUGGGAAUAAGCAGUCGGCUAACGUCCGUGCCACG